rnacentral:misc_RNA from 1 species
AAUGCAUCACAAUAAUAACAAUGACAACAGUCCAAUCCCAAUUGUGUGAAACGCACAUUGCAGAUAGUUAAUCAGAAAAAAAUGAGAUGGCAGUAAGAGGUUAAUGACUUAUGUGUGAUAUUCCUUCUCAAUCAUACUUUGCAGAGCAUCUUCUUUUCAGUCUAUUUCUUAUAACUGAAGCAUGCCUGCGUGGAAUCCAUUCUGGUGUGGAAGAAGAUGCAGUGGAGUAGAUUAGUUAGUUUUGUUCACUUUGUUGCUGUGUAUUCAUCGAUAAUGCUGCCUGCCAAGAAAAGAAGAGGAUGAGAGAGAACAAUGCCCAUUCAAGAUUUUUUCCUUCCUUUUUUACUUGUAGGUUUUUGUGAAGAUGAGGUAGAAGUGAUGUAAUAUAUGCUGGUCCUAAGGUGAAACCUUAGCCCAGCAGAGGUGUUGUAUGUGAACUAAACUAACU